GGGCUCGUAGUUCAGCUGGUAGAACACUCGGUUCGCAUCCGAGAGGUAGGCGGUUCGAGUCCGCCCGAGUCCACCU
rnacentral:tRNA from 1 species